rfam:Prevotella sp. CAG:485 genomic scaffold, scf2
AACCACUCCAAAUCCGACUGGGAAACUCAUCAAUUAUACUGAAAUACCGAGACAAGCAUGCUCAGCUAAUGGCGGGCCUCAGGCUCCCGGAGGGAGUCUCGCUGUUAAAGCGACGGAGGAUUACAACGGCUGAGAGGCACUCAAAUCCUGUCAUUCGGAGUUUCAUCACCGUCCUUUGGAGUGGCCCUUUAA